rnacentral:rRNA from 1 species
GGCCAAGUUUUUAAGGGCGCACGGUGGAUGCCUUGGCACCAGGAACCGAUGAAGGACGUGGGAGGCCACGAUAGUCCCCGGGGAGUCGUCAACCAGGCUUUGAUCCGGGGGUUUCCGAAUGGGGAAACCCGGCAGUCGUCAUGGGCUGUCACCCAUGCCUGAACACAUAGGGCAUGUGGAGGGAACGCGGGGAAGUGAAACAUCUCAGUACCCGCAGGAAGAGAAAACAACCGUGAUUCCGGGAGUAGUGGCGAGCGAAACCGGAUGAGGCCAAACCGUAUACGUGUGAGACCCGGCAGGGGUUGCGUGUGCGGGGUUGUGGGAUCUCUCUUCCACGGUCUGCCGGCCGUGGGACGAGUCAGAAACCGUUGAUGUAGGCGAAGGACAUGCGAAAGGUCCGGCGUAGAGGGUAAGACCCCCGUAGUCGAAACGUCAGCGGCUCGUUUGAGAGACACCCAAGUAGCACGGGGCCCGAGAAAUCCCGUGUGAAUCUGGCGGGACCACCCGCUAAGCCUAAAUAUUCCCUGGUGACCGAUAGCGGAUAGUACCGUGAGGGAAUGGUGAAAAGUACCCCGGGAGGGGAGUGAAAUAGUACCUGAAACCGUGUGCCUACAAGCCGUGGGAGCGUCGGAAUGGAGCUUGCUUCAUUCUCGUGACUGCGUGCCUUUUGAAGAAUGAGCCUGCGAGUUUGCGGUGUGUUGCGAGGUUAACCCGUGUGGGGAAGCCGUAGCGAAAGCGAGUCCGAAUAGGGCGUUUCAGUAGCACGCUCAAGACCCGAAGCGGAGUGAUCUAGCCAUGGGCAGGUUGAAGCGGAGGUAAGACUUCGUGGAGGACCGAACCCACCAGGGUUGAAAACCUGGGGGAUGACCUGUGGUUAGGGGUGAAAGGCCAAUCAAACUCCGUGAUAGCUGGUUCUCCCCGAAAUGCAUUUAGGUGCAGCGUCGUGUGUUUCUUGCCGGAGGUAGAGCACUGGAUAGGCGAUGGGCCCUACCGGGUUACUGACCUUAGCCAAACUCCGAAUGCCGGUAAGUGAGAGCGCGGCAGUGAGACUGUGGGGGAUAAGCUCCAUGGUCGAGAGGGAAACAGCCCAGAGCAUCGACUAAGGCCCCUAAGCGUACGCUAAGUGGGAAAGGAUGUGGAGUCGCACAGACAACCAGGAGGUUGGCUUAGAAGCAGCCACCCUUGAAAGAGUGCGUAAUAGCUCACUGGUCUAGUGAUUCCGCGCCGACAAUGUAGCGGGGCUCAAGCGUACCGCCGAAGUCGUGUCAUUGCGAUAUGUACCCCCAACGGGGAUCGUGAUGGGUAGGGGAGCGUCGUCUGCCGGGUGAAGCAGCCGCGUAAGCGAGUUGUGGACGGUUGACGAGUGAGAAUGCAGGCAUGAGUAGCGAUACAAACGUGAGAAACGUUUGCGCCGAUUGACUAAGGGUUCCUGGGUCAAGCUGAUCUGCCCAGGGUAAGUCGGGACCUAAGGCGAGGCCGACAGGCGUAGUCGAUGGAUAACCGGUUGAUAUUCCGGUACCCGCUGUGAAGCGUCAAACAUCGAAUCCAGUGAUGCUAAGCCCGUGAAGCCGCCCUGCCUCAGCUUUGCUGUGGUGGGGAGUGGUGGAGCCGGUGACCCGAGCUGGUAGUAGGUGAGUGAUGGGGUGACGCAGGAAGGUAGUCCAUCCCGGGCGGUGGUUGUCCCGGGGUAAGGGUGUAGGACGCGAGGUAGGCAAAUCCGCCUUGCACAUAGUCUGAGACCUGAUGCCGAGCCGAUUGUGGUGAAGUGGAUGAUCCUAUGCUGUCGAGAAAAGCCUCUAGCGAGUUUCAUGGCGGCCCGUACCCUAAACCGACUCAGGUGGUCAGGUAGAGAAUACCGAGGCGUUCGGGUGAACUAUGGUUAAGGAACUCGGCAAAAUGCCCCCGUAACUUCGGGAGAAGGGGGGCCACAACCGGUGAUGAGCUUCGCGCUCUGAGCUGGGGGUGGCCGCAGAGACCAGCGAGAAGCGACUGUUUACUAAAAACACAGGUCCGUGCGAAGCCGUAAGGCGAUGUAUACGGACUGACGCCUGCCCGGUGCUGGAACGUUAAGGGGACCGGUUAGCUCACUUUCGGGUGGGCGAAGCUGAGAACUUAAGCGCCAGUAAACGGCGGUGGUAACUAUAACCAUCCUAAGGUAGCGAAAUUCCUUGUCGGGUAAGUUCCGACCUGCACGAAUGGCGUAACGACUUCUCGACUGUCUCAACCAUAGGCCCGGUGAAAUUGCACUACGAGUAAAGAUGCUCGUUUCGCGCAGCAGGACGGAAAGACCCCGGGACCUUUACUACAGUUUGAUAUUGGUGUUCGGUUCGGCUUGUGUAGGAUAGCUGGGAGACUGUGAAGCUUGGACGCCAGUUCAGGUGGAGUCGUCGUUGAAAUACCAGUCUGGUCGUGCUGGAUGUCUAACCUGGGUCCGUGAUCCGGAUCAGGGACAGUGUCUGAUGGGUAGUUUAACUGGGGCGGUUGCCUCCUAAAGGGUAACGGAGGCGCCCAAAGGUUCCCUCAGCCUGGUUGGCAAUCAGGUGUUGAGUGUAAGUGCACAAGGGAGCUUGACUGUGAGACCGACGGGUCGAGCAGGGACGAAAGUCGGGACUAGUGAUCCGGCGGUGGCUUGUGGAAGCGCCGUCGCUCAACGGAUAAAAGGUACCCCGGGGAUAACAGGCUGAUCUUCCCCAAGAGUCCAUAUCGACGGGAUGGUUUGGCACCUCGAUGUCGGCUCGUCGCAUCCUGGGGCUGGAGUCGGUCCCAAGGGUUGGGCUGUUCGCCCAUUAAAGCGGUACGCGAGCUGGGUUUAGAACGUCGUGAGACAGUUCGGUCCCUAUCCGCUGUGCGCGUAGGAGUCUUGAGAAGGGCUGUCCCUAGUACGAGAGGACCGGGACGGACGAACCUCUGGUGUGCCAGUUGUUCUGCCAAGGGCAUGGCUGGUUGGCUACGUUCGGGAGGGAUAACCGCUGAAAGCAUCUAAGCGGGAAGCCUGCUUCGAGAUGAGGACUCCCACCCACUUGAUGGGGUAAGGCUCCCAGUAGACGACUGGGUUGAUAGGCCGGAUAUGGAAGCACGGUAACGUGUGGAGUUGACCGGUACUAAUAGGCCGAGGGCUUGUCCUC